ensembl:lncRNA
UGAGAGUUGAGCAACUCACGUUUGUUCUCGUUGUCCGGCAUGUGCUGAAGUCUGGGUUGCUCUGUUUUUUUGCUCGCCAGUACCGUGUGUGUGAGCAAACUACACUAAGCAGAGCUUUUAUUGAAAUAUUCCACAACAAUUUGGCGUCACGAACAGGAUUCACUGACCGUCCGUCAGGCUCCAGGGGACCGUCCGGGGAAAAAGGCCUUUUCCAGGAUCACCAGCUGAUGAUCCUGCCUCAUACCUCCUUAGACAAGAGAGAAAGGACCGGCGGAAACCAGAGGAGUCCUGAUUGACGUCACGCGUAUCCAGCGAAGAAGAAUUAAUUUCUGCAAACUCGGGUAAGAAGUUGAAAUUCCGAUUAUAAAGUAACAGUAAGAGUUGAACAUAACGGAGACAGAUGACUGAUCAAGUGGUUGUUAUACAAGUGGUUGUUAUAGUCUGGGGAAUAAAAUUAUUUUUUAACAUUUUUUUUUUUUUUUCCUUAUAAUAAUCUUUUAAUAUCUUUUUUGAGUACAUGAUUCCGGGAUAUUUCUAAUGCAUCAUUUUAUGCGAAGGUAGAUAGGAUCGUGUACGAUUUCAAACAAAUUCUCUGAGAUCGUAACAUCGCUAGACUACAAGUAGAAGACAGGAUUGCUUACGGUAAAGAUUUCACUCGGAUCAAAUUCUCCGAGAUCGUAACGCAGAUAGCAAAUAAGACCGUUGCUAUUGACCACACGUGAAUUCCACCUGUGGAAUAAGAUCGUGGAAAUAGCCUACGUGAAUUUUAUGCUGAAGCAGGUAAAACGAUAUCACUCUUAUUGUUAACCAAACGUGAGUUCUACUGAAUUACCUUUAGAAUAAGAUCAUGGCAAUAUCGAAGCGUGAGUUUUACACUGAAAAACAUUCAAAACGAUAUCACUGUUAUUGUUAACCAAAUGUGAGUUCUACUGAAUUACCUUUAGAACAAGAUCGUGGCAAAAUCGAAGCGUGAGUUUUGAGUGGGGUUUUUGCAAAGUUUUUCCGGGUGAGUAAAGAAACUAAGCCUUACGGUGACGACUGUAUUGUAAUAAGUAAACCGGUAGGGUCCACCAGUAAAAGAUGGGUAGCCAGUCCGCAAAACACACGGAACGUCGGGUCCGAUUGUGGCAAUGAUGCAGCAGAAAUACGGGAAAACAUGUACAGAGUGUCUCCCAUACUGGACAAAAGAGUUUGGGUUUCCAGAAAACGGCUCGUUGAGUGCCGCUAAACUUAAAAUGUUAAAAGGAGAUUUGGACGCAAAGUUAAAAAAAAAUAAAAAUUGAAAAGUGGUAAAAAGAUCAAAGUUAAAGACUUGGAAAUAAUAGAGAAAAACCAGACAUGUCUGGCACAAUGGGAAAUGGAAUGUGAAUGCAGGGAGAGAAAACGAAUGAUGAAGAAAAUGACGUGUUUAAAAACUGAAAAAACCUGACAUUGAAACACAGAAUAAUCCAUGUGUGUCUUCUCCAUUGUAUCCAUCCCUGACAGGGGCAGGCGGUCCUCUCCUGAACACGUGUUGUCAAAUUCCUGCACCACCUCCAGUCCAACAAUCACCACCACCAUACAACCCCGAUCCUACGGUUGGCAGACCUGUAACACGCAGUCAAACCCGGCUGGGAGACCAGGGAGGUGCAGACGUCAAAUCAUGCUCACCCCUCAACCCAUUGAGACCUGACCCCACAGCUCAGUCCACCCCGGACUCUGCAUGGUCAAUCCACGACCCAUCCCCCUGGAGGGGCACAGCCGGCAGAAUUGUGAAUUUUCUUAGUCCUAACACCACCAUGGACAGUAAACUGGACGGGUCUUAUAUUCAAGCCCCCAUGUUUCAAGUUCCAGGGCCACAGGAUGGACUACCUGCCUCCCAUCUGCCCACCAUAAAAAAUGGCGUGGCUUUUGGAAAAGAGUUCCUGACGUUAUGCAAAGACAUAACAGCCAUCUGUGCUGCUGUGGUUGCGGCCUUCCAAGUCAACAUGGCCCUCAUCAACAGCACGAAACAAGAUGCAUACAAAGAUAUGCCAACUACAAGAGUAAUUGUGGAAUUACUGCAUUGUGAUCUGUGUUGACUGUCUACAACGCGGGUGCCUCACAAGAAAGAAGGUUUGCAGACUCCACAUCCCAACGUGUACCUGCGGACCAACACAAGAAGAAGAACAUGGCCAGAACCCCUUCACAUAGACACAGUAGUAUUUUCGCAAAUCCUUCAGUCUGCUGAUUGUGCUCCCCGGAGAUCUGAACUAAAAAGGCCAAGUUGGGAGCCCUACACGACUGAGGGGCCGAGAGUACCCAACGGCUCUCCUCCGGACCGUAUCCCUCCCAGUCCAGGUAACUUCUGCCAUGGCGACGUACAUCCAGGAGCCAUUGAAUGGAGUUGGCAUGAUACCCGUUAAUCAUCUGGGUGGGUGGCGGGAGAACUGGUGGAGGGCACAGUGGGCUGGUGGACACCGGUUUCAACUGUGACUCAUGGAAUGUGGGAUGGACCCUCAUGGUGCGGAGAAGUUCCAGUCGCAGAGCUGUAGGGUUACUUAUCUUCUCCACAACGAAGGUAACGUUGUGCCAGUUUCUCUGAUUCAGUCUUUAUUGGAAUAUGUUUGGAGGAAAGCCAUAGUUUCUGACCUGGUUUGUAUGCAGAAGCUGGUGUCCGGUGGCGGUUUGCAAUGCGCUGGUUGUUUUCAGCUGAGCGGAGUAGGGCAGAGCGGGUGUAUCCCCAGACCUUAUGGCAGCGGCGGAGGUGCAUUUGAACUGAUGGGACAGCUAUGUCACCCUCUAGAGAGGGAAACAGGGGCGGCUGAGACAAACCUCUGGCAGUGCUGGUCAGGGAAUUAUGGGCGUAUUCAAUCCAUGCGAGUUGUGCGCUCCAGGCAGUGUGAUUGGCGGCGGUUACACACCGUAGAGCAGGAUGGGUGGUGAGGUGAAGCUCCUUCUUAGCUCUUAGCCUUGGGGGUCCACGUGAAAGGGGUGGAGGUGAGUUUGGUUAACGGAGCCGCUAUCUUGCUGUAGUCUCUGAUGAACCGACGAUAGAAAUUAGCGAACCCCAGGAACCGCUGUAAUUCCGGUUGUGGGGUCUGGGCCAGUUUGUCACAGCCUUGAUCUUCUCUGGGUCAGCCCUUACCUGCCCACUAGCAAAAAUGUACCCCAGAAAAGCGACUGAACAAGCGUGGAACUUGCAUUUCUCGGCUUUCACAUAGAGCUGUUCUCCAGGAGUCUCUGGAGAACCUGACAGACGUGGGAGACAUGAUCGGAAAGAUCAUCCAGGUAAACAAACACAAAACGAUUGAGAAAGUCACUUAGCACGUUAUUAACAAAUGCUUUGAAAAACUGCAGGAGCGUUUGUGAGGCCGAACGGCAUCACCAGAUACUCAAAAUGCCCCAGUGGAGUGUUGAAACCAGUCUUCCAUUCUUCCCCCUCCCUGAUUCUGACCAGGUGGUAGGCACUCCGGAGAUCCAGCUUUGUGAAGACUGUUGCGCCCUGGAGUGGCUCAAAAGCAGAGUUUAUUAGUGGUAGGGGGUACUUGUUCUUAAUGGUUAUAUUGUUCAACCCACAAAAGUCAAUACAUGGUCGGAGGGAGUGGUCCUUUCAUGGAAACAAAAAAGAAUCCAGCACCAACUGGGGAUGAGGAUGGUCUGAUUAUACCAGCACUCAGUGACUCCUUGAUAUACUUUUCCAUUGCUUCCCUCUCUGGACGGGCCAAGUUAUAGAGCCGACUAGUUGGAAGAGGAGCACCGGAGAGGGGUGAGGGGGAGAGGAGAGCGCUAAGUUCUUACUGAACACCAAACCCAAAUCAUGAUACUCUGCAGGUAUGGUGGAUAGAUCUGGAGGCUUGGAGCUUGAUGGUGAUAUGGCAACAUCUGCUAGGGACAGGUCUGACCUCCAGCCCCAGACACAAACUGCUGACCAGUCAAUGUGUGGGUUGUGUGUCUGUAACCAACAUGCAACAACCUAAACUAACACUAAAACAUUUUAAUGGGCACGCACAACUGUCACAUGUUCUGCCGUUGAGGUAAGUAUAUUGUAACUAUAUUAUACACCAGGGGUGCCGAAACUUUUACGGCUUGCGAGCUACUUUUCAACUACUUUUCGUCAUGGCGAUGGCGGCUGGGGGGGGUGGGGGGGAUCGACUGGUCGAUCGACGUAUUGAGCACCCCUGUUAUACACCAUAUCAAUCUCUUCUGCACAAACAAAGUUCUACUCGGUUCAGAGGUAUCUCCUGAUCAAAUCAAAUGCAUGUUGAUCAAAUUAAAAAAAAUGUAAAAAUUCCUUUUCCAAAAUCUUGUUUUAAAAUGAUGACAUGGCUACUGUCACGGUUUGGGUUCACGUCUUGUUUUAUUUUGUAGUUUCAUGCCUUCAAUUUGUUGUAAGCAGCGUACCGACUUGUGAACUAUGCAGGUGUGAAAAGUGCCAUCGGGCCACAGUGCUGAAUCAACAUCCUUUUUUAAAUUAUUUUUUUCUUCUUUUAAUAGCUGGUUCAAACUAAAUGAAUAGAGCUGUUAAAGAGCAUGUUAGAAAGUAUUGUCAUCUCAUCAGGUUCUGUAACCUAACGUGACAUAUGUUCAUUGCUAACAGUGUAACAUAUCAUGAGUUUCUAUUUACAAUUGAUAAAAUGCCAACGUGUAAAGGCAAUUAGUAAAGUAUUAUGUUCCACUGAACUUUACAGAGCAGUUUGGCAUCUUUGUUUUGACUUUAGAGCAAAUAUGUCAAACUCAAGGCCCGCCAAUAUAUUGUAUAUUUAGCUGCCAGCAACAACAGAAUAGAAACCUCAGGUCACUCUCUCCCCCUGGUGGUACACAAUAACUGUAACACAAAAAACAUCAAGCUGCUCUCGCUCUCUGAGCCUAACAAGAACAGCUACUGCAGGAUAUUCCCCCUGCAAGGUGACUUCUGCUUGCUGUGUGUGUGUGAAUUCAAAACAUCGGGUCCAGCUUACAUCCAGGACAUGGUCAAACCCAACAUCCCGACCCGCACUCUCCGCUCUGCAUCUGCAAAACUGCUCGUCCCUCCCUCACUGAGAGCAAAACACUCGACUAGAUCUCGACUCUUUGCUGUCCUUGCUCCCAAAUGGUGGAACGAGCUCUCUGAAGACACCAGGACCGCAGAGAGCCUUCACAUCUUCCGCCGCAAACUAAAGACACACCUCUUCAGACUCUACCUAGACUAAAGACUAACAAAUUGUAGCACUUAAAUUGUACUUAUAACGCCACUCAUCUAUAGCAAAUUGUAAAUUGGCUUAUUUGAUGAAAUAGCACUUUCUUGUUUCUCGUUCUUCUGAGUUUGUACCCUAUGGUUGAAUGCACUUAUUCGCUUUGGAUAAAAGCGUCAGCUAAAUGACAUGUAAUGUAAUGAUAUUAAAAAGCCAAAGCGCUGCAUGUUCCCGAUACAAAUAAUAAGAGACAUAAUUAAAUGUCCUGUUGCGAUAUUAGUUUUUGGCUCCAUAAGGUUGUUUUCACGAAGUCUUUAGAUUGUUCAAACAAAGAAGAAGCAGCAUCAAUUAAAUACUUGAUGAAUCAUGGUAGCAAAGGCUGAUACACCGCAGCUAUUUACAGCUAUGCAGGAUGUCUCCAUUUUGUUUAUGUGUACGAGUGUGACAAAUCUAAAAGCAAGUAGACACAAAAUAACAUUUGCUGUUUGUAACUGUUCUUAACUUUAAAUUAUGAAUGACAAUAAUACACUAAUAUUCCAAGGUGAAUGAUGCAGUAUUUUACUAAAUAAAACAUCACUUGUAUUUUCCUUCUUGUAUUGCAAUGCAGACUAGAUCGCCAGUUUUAUGGGCAACAUUUCACUCUGAGUGCCUUUGUUCGAUAGUGCACUUUAUGUUUAAUAUUUUUUAACUUUUUAAAUACUUAAAAUUUUUAACUUUAACUUUAUUCUCUUGUUUUAUACUAACCCAUAGCCUUAUUCUACUAAACCAUUGCAUUAGCAUUUCAUUUUAUUACUUGUGCAGUGCUGUCUUGUUGUCUAUUGUUACACUGUCUACUGUCACGCACCAACCGCCAAGACAAAUUCCUUGUAUGUUUGACAUAUUUUGGCAAUAAAUGUUUCCUGAUUCCUGAUUUGACUAAUGAAGUG